AAGAGACUUUUAAUUGUAAAAGAGUUUGGA
rnacentral:piRNA from 1 species